AGAGUUUGAUCAUGGCUCAGAACGAACGCUGGCGGCAGGCUUAACACAUGCAAGUCGAACGAUGUAGCAAUACAUAGUGGCGCACGGGUGAGUAACGCGUGGGAAUAUACCUUAUAGUGGGGAAUAACUUUGGGAAACUAAAGCUAAUACCGCAUACGCCCGAGAGGGGAAAGAUUUAUCGCUAUAAGAUUAGCCCGCGUGAGAUUAGGUAGUUGGUGGGGUAAUGGCCUACCAAGCCUACGAUCUCUAGCUGGUCUGAGAGGAUGAUCAGCCACACUGGAACUGAGACACGGUCCAGACUCCUACGGGAGGCAGCAGUGGGAAUAUUGGGCAAUGGAGGAAACUCUGACCCAGCCAUGCCGCGUGAAUGAUGAAGGCCUUAGGGUUGUAAAGUUCUUUCGCCGAUGAAGAUAAUGACGGUAGUCGGAGAAGAAGCCCCGGCUAACUUCGUG
rnacentral:rRNA from 1 species